GGCCGUUAGCUCAGUUGGUCAGAGCGUCGUGCUAAUAAACGCGAAGGUCGCGGGUUCGAUGCCCGUACUGGCCA
rnacentral:tRNA from 1 species